AUUGAACGCUAGCGGGAUGCCUUACACAUGCAAGUCGAACGGAGUGGCGAACGGGUGAGUAAUGUAUCGGAACGUGCCCCGUAGCUGGGGAUAACUACGCGAAAGCGUAGCUAAUACCGCAUACUAUUGGAGCUGCCUAUUUCGGAUUGGCUAGUUGGUGGGGUAACGGCUCACCAAAGCGACGACCCGUAGCUGGUUUGAGUGGACGACCAGCCACACUGGGACGGAGACACGACCCAGACUACUACGGGAGGCAGCAGUGGGGAAUGUUGUACAAUGGGGGAAACCCUGAUCCAGCCAUGCCGCGUGUGCGAUGAAGGCCUUCGGGUUGUAAAGCACUUUUGGCAGGAAAGCGGUACCUGCAGAAUAAGCACCGGCUAACUACGUGCCAGCAGCCGCGGUAAUAC
rnacentral:rRNA from 1 species